rnacentral:rRNA from 1 species
GACAGAGGGGGCAAGCGUUGCUCGGAAUUACUGGGCGUAAAGGGCUCGUAGGCGGCCAACUCAGUCGGACGUGAAAUCCCUCGGCUUAACCGGGGAACGGCGUCCGAUACUGGAUGGCUUGAAUCCGAGAGAGGGAUGCGGAAUUCCAGGUGUAGCGGUGAAAUGCGUAGAUAUCUGGAGGAACACCGGUGGCGAAGGCGGCAUCCUGGAUUGGUAUUGACGCUGAGGAGCGAAAGCUAGGGGAGCAAACGGG